rnacentral:lncRNA from 1 species
CUCUUUGGUGCCUCUCUUUCCGUGAGGAAACAAGGCAGCACUUUGUGCCUUGCAGCUCUAGUGCAAUGUAGGACAUGGCAGAGCAGAAGUUCUACUUGAGUGAGAUCAGGGCUGGGAAGCAACUGACUUUCACAGGCUUUUGUAACAGAUGUUCCGGUAGGCUGUAAGAGCACUGUGCAGUGCGAGUUCUUAAAUAGCUUCUCAAAGAGCUGGAAGCCAGAUGCUUUUGGGCCACUCUCCCCUUGAGAAAUAAGGCAGGACUUUGUCCCUUGCACCUGUAGGGCAAUGCAGGACAUGGCAGAGCAGAAGGUCUACUUGAGAGAGAUCAGGGCUGGGAAGAAAGUGCGUUUCACAGGCCUUUGUAACAGAUGUUCCCGGUAGGCUGUAAGAGCACUGUUGAGAGCGAGUUGUUUCUUAGCUUCCCAAAGAGCUGGAAGCAAGACGCUUUGUGGCCUGUCUCCACUUCAGGAACAAGGCAGGACUUUGUGACUUGCACCUCUAGGGCAAAGUACGACACGUCUAAGGAGAAGUUCUACUUCAGCCAGAUCAGGGCUGGGAAGAAACUGCGUUUCACAGGCAUUUGUAAGAGAUGUCCCUGGUAGGCUGUAAGAGCACUGUGUAGAGGGAGUUGUUUCUUAGCUUCCGAAAGAGCUGGAAGCAAGGCCGUUUGUGGCUUCUCUCAUUUGGCAGCAAUGACUCAGUGCGUUGUCUUUUCCACCUCUAGAGCAAUGUAGAACAUGGCAUAGAGCAGAAGUUCCAAGGCGGUGAGAUCAUGGCUGGAAACACACUGCAUUUCAGGCCUUUGUAUGAGAGGUUCCCGGUAGAUUGUAAGAGCCCUGUGGAAAGCGAGUUCUUUCUCACCUUGCCAAAGAGCUGGAGGCGAGACGGUCUGUGGCCUGUCUCAUCUUUAGGAAGCCAAGCAGGGCUUUGUAACUUCCACCUCUACAGCAAUGUAUUACACUUCAGAGCAGAAGUUCUACUUCAGCGAGAUCAGGGGUGAGAAGAAACUGCGUUUCAUAGGAUUUGUGUGAGAUUUUACAGAAGGCUGUGAGAGCACUGUGGAGAGUGAGUUGUUUCUUACCUUCCCAAAGAGCAGGAAGAAAAACGCUUUGUGGCCUGUCUCCCCUUGAGGAAACAAGGCAGGACGUCGUGCCUUGCACCUCUUGGGCAAUGUAG